rnacentral:lncRNA from 1 species
ACGACUCUGCUUGGGGAUAUGUAUCCCGACUUGUCUGGACCUUUUCUGCUCCAUCAUCUUGUAUUCCAAACCGCUUCGUGCUCGACGGAGAGCGAACUCCUGGGAUUUAUACAGACUUUUCAAUCUUCCGACUUUGAAGAAUCUUCUUGAUUAAUUCCAAGGAUCGUCGUACGUCUCACCGUCGUCUUUUCACCAUUCUCCCAUUCAUUUGUUCCUGACUGGACUCCAUGGGGAUUUGUUU